ensembl:lncRNA
GAGGUGCAUCACAUCCGACUUGAGCAGGAAACUGAAUGUCGUGUCUCGUCACAGAAGGGGUGGGUGGCUUGGAAUGUCAUCUAUAAUGACCCACCCAGCUCUGCCCACUUACCUUCCACAAUCUGCUGGCUGGGUUAAAGCGAACGGAGCAUCAAGAGAUCAUCAAUCUGUGUGUAACACUUUGAUAUGUAUCAUCAAAACCAUUAUUUGUUGUGGUCAGACAGACCAGUCUGUAGGCAUAGCUUGAGAAGACGCUGUGGUGGACUUGGCUAUGAUUGCUGUGGACAGCAGGAGAAUGAGGACAGCAGUGCUUCAUGGAUGCAUGAGCAACCGACAGUGUGCUAUUAUGCUGGUGAAACUGACCUCACCCACGAAUAUAUUGAGAUAGAGACAGAUUCCUGCUUGACUGUAGCUGAUCAAGAUUUUGAAGAGGUCCACAUUGGACAGGAGCUGGAAGACCACGAAGUCUGGUUGGAACAGACCCAUCAAACAGACUAUGACCAAGAACACAUUCACGGAGUGUCGUCUUGCCCUCCGACAAAUCACAGAAUGAAUGAAGGGUCAGAACAGAAUAAAGGCUGUUUAUGCCCAUACAGGACUGUUCAUUCAAGAUGGGGCAAUGAGGCAACCAACCAGUGUCCAUGUGUGUCUCCUCAGUGUUUUAAUGGUGGGUAUUAUGUAGAUGUAUUCACUCUGACAUGCUGUCCAUGGAUUAUCUAUUUAUUUUCUAUCUAUUUACUCUGCAGUUUUAACAGGUUUAAGAUUAGUUUCUCCUUUAUGUUAUCUCACCAUGAUCCAAGACUUUAUUUGAUGUUUGUGCAUCUGGUUUAGCGUGAUGCUAAUCACUGGCUAGCAUACUCAUGGCAAGGCAACGUGAAUUAUAAUAGGUUGGUCUGGGUGCCAGAUGUGACGAGACUAAGUCUAAAGACAUUUAACAUUACUCAAGCCACAGUAUCACGUGUGUACCAGGAAUAGAUCAUUGAAGGCAUUACCACCCACAGUAGACAGUGCAGUGGAUGGUAAUGAUAGUAAAUAGUGGCAUCUGGCUAGAAAUGUCCUUCUCUGGCCACAUCUCUGGCGGAAAUUACAUCCACAUUCAGUGCAAGAGGCUCUGCACAUGUAUCUCACAGGUCAAUAGGGUGUGUUUUAGCUUCAAUGGGACAUGGCAAAAGUCACGGGACACAAUACUAUUUCCUAUUCCAUGACACGUGGCAUGUCGGUGUACAAACAGCCGUCAGAAAAGAUUUACAAAAUGUGAAACCAUCAACAUAUUGCUAUCAGAACAAAAUGUUUUAUAUCCAAUUUGUAUCUUUCUAUUUUACUUUUUGACAUACUUAAAAAUGUCUUGCCCUUUAACAUUAGAAACAUUAGAAAAUUGCUGGAUUCACGCUUCAAGCGUGUUAAACUGAAGUAAUGUGAUUUCUUUUCUGUUUAGUGAGGAACACCCUGGUAGUCGGUGUUGAGGUGGAUGUUCUAGAAGAGCUGGUUUAUGAAGACACAGAAAUUGUGCAAACACAGACAGUGUGAGUAGUACAAGCAAUGCUGCUGUUUACUAAAUAAAAAUGAUUUUUUAUAUUGAUAUUUUAAUGAC